GAUGAACGCUAGCGACAGGCCUAACACAUGCAAGUCGAGGGGCAUCGGGGUUGAAGCUUGCUUUAACUGCCGGCGACCGGCGCACGGGUGAGUAACACGUAUGCAACCUGCCCGUCACAGGGGUAUAAUCGAUGGAAACGUCGUCUAAUCCCCCAUAUAAUCAUUUUGCUGCAUGGUGAGAUGAUGAAAGCUGAUUGUGGUGACGGAUGGGCAUGCGGUGCAUUAGCUAGUAGGCGGGGUAACGGCCCACCUAGGCUACGAUGCCAUAGGGGUUCUGAGAGGAAGGUCCCCCCANACUGGUACUGAGACACGGACCAGGACUCCUACGGGAGGCAGCAGUGAGGAAUAUUGGUCAAUGGUCGAGAGACUGAACCAGCCAAGUCGCGUG
rnacentral:rRNA from 1 species